rnacentral:rRNA from 1 species
AGAGUUUGACCCUGGCUCAGCGCGAACGCUUGCGGCGCGCCUAACACAUGCAAGUCAGGGGGCACCGCCCUUUUGGGCGGUGUAACCGGCAAACGGGUGAGUAACGCGUGGGUAACCUACCCCCGGGAGGGGGAUAACCCCCCGAAAGGGGGGCUAAUACCCCAUAACGAGCCCUCCCACUAAGGGAGGGCUCCAAAGGCCCGCCUCUGGCUCUGCCAAGCGGGCGCCCGGGGAUGGGCCCGCGUCCCAUCAGGUAGUUGGUGGGGUAACGGCCCACCAAGCCUAUGACGGGUAGCUGGCCUGAGAGGGUGGCCAGCCACAGCGGGACUGAGACACGGCCCGCACCCCUACGGGGGGCAGCAGUGGGGAAUCGUGGGCAAUGGGCGAAAGCCUGACCCCGCGACGCCGCGUGGGGGAAGAAGCCCUUCGGGGUGUAAACCCCUGUCGGGCCGGACGAAGCGGCCGGGGGUUAAGAGCCCCCGGUCGUGACGGUACGGCCAGAGGAAGGGACGGCUAACUACGUGCCAGCAGCCGCGGUAAUACGUAGGUCCCGAGCGUUGCGCGGAGUUACUGGGCGUAAAGCGUCCGCAGCCGGCCCCGCAAGCGGGUUGUCAAAGCCCACGGCUCAACCGUGGAAUGGCAUCCCGAACUGCGGGGCUUGAGGCUUGCUCGGGCAGGCGGAAUUCCCGGUGUAGCGGUGAAAUGCGUAGAUAUCGGGAGGAACACCGGUGGGGAAGCCGGCCUGCUGGGGCUAGCCUGACGGUCAGGGACGAAAGCCGGGGGAGCAAACCGGAUUAGAUACCCGGGUAGUCCCGGCCGUAAACCAUGGGCGCUAGGCGUUGUCCCGUAAGGGGCAGUGCCGAAGCUAACGCGUUAAGCGCCCCGCCUGGGGAGUACGGCCGCAAGGCUGAAACUCAAAGGGAUUGGCGGGGGCCCGCACAAACGGUGGAGCGUCGGGUUUAAUCGGAUGCUAACCCU